rnacentral:lncRNA from 10 species
AGGGAGGGAGAGGGACCGAGGAGGGGAGAUAUCCCUCCGCAGAGCUGGGUCUGGCCGCGGGCGGGGAAGCAGGAAGUAAGGUGUCCAGCGCCGCGACCGGCUGGUCGUCCGCCUCGGCCCCCGCCCGCGUCCCCUUUCCCCCGGGGCGCAGCGCUACGGCGGGCGCGGGCCGCCCGGCGCAUUGUUCGCAGCCUUCGCGGCGGUGCGCUGCUGACUUUAUUUGUGCGCUUUGCGUGUGCGUGAGGUUGCACCUUUUGUAGGCUGGCGAGUCUCUGGACGAGGAUGGGACGGGGGACACGGGCCCAGUUGCGGCCCUGCGCGAGCGGGACCUGUCAGCCCUGAGGUGCAGCGGACCCUCCGGCAUGGCCGGAAAAUCGAGGCCGGGGAGAAGGCAGCGUGGCCGGGAAGCUGCCGCCUUAAACCCGGACCAGUGCAGGAUUGCUUCCUGCGUAGCCGUCCCGGUUAUUGUAACACGCUUUGCAAGCUAACGACUGGGGUUGAAUGCAUUCACAUGGUUCCAAAUUCAAAUAAACAGCAAGAAGUCUCCCUCCCACCCUGUCUGCCACCCACUUGGUUUUCCUUCUCUGGAGGCAACCUGGGUUAGUGGUCAGAAGAUGCAUUUAACUGUUUUCCAGCUGAGGCCUUGUGAGAACUCCUCGGACACCAAUUUAAAUCUUUAUGUCCAGAACUCCUUUCUCCAAUCCAGGUAGAGCCACUCCCCUAUCCUAUCCCCACUCCCACCCUUCCCCCCUUCAGCCUCAAUCCUAAGCAGGCUCUAUUAACAAUGAUGAGCCACCAUUUCCUCGAGCUACUAACAAAUGCAAAUGUUUAAAUACUUUGUGGUUCUUUUUCCUCUUCUACAUUAAUUGCUAACAUUUAUCGAGGGCUUUCCGUGUGCCACGCACUGUGCUAAAUACUAGGCAUGCAUAUUCUUAUUUAAUCUGCCCCAAAUCUUCAUCAUUAUCCUUAUUUACAGAUGCAGACGGUCUCACUCUUGUCAGCCCAGAUGGCAUGCAGUGGCACAGUCUAUGGAGGCAAUCAGGGUUAGCUGUCAGCUCACUGUGGCCUCAACCUCCCAGGCGCAAGUGAUCCUCCCACCUCAGCAUCCCCAGUAGCUGGGACUACAGGUGUACGCCACUACCCCCAGCUAAUUUUUGUAUUUUUUUGUAGAGAUGAGGUUCCACCAUUCUUGCCCAGACUGGUUUCGAACUCCUGGACUCAAGCGAUUUGCCUGCCUCGGCCUCAAAAAGUGCUGGGAUUACAUGCAUGAGCCACCACACCCGGACCCUCUCUCUUAAAUAGUGGCCCUUUUGCCUCUCUGCAACACAGGAAAAAUUCUGUUAGCCUGCAUCAGAAGGAGUGGCAUGGAGGCUUUGGAGUUAAGAAGAUUUAAUUCAAAUUAUGUGUCCGGUGCCUGCCAGCAAUGAGACCUUGGUAAGGUUUCUUAACCUCUCUGAGCUGGGACCAUACCUUCUGCGUUGGUUUAAUAUAAAGGUUAAAUGCAUGUAAAUAAAUGACUUCUAAAAUAAAUAACAUUCUAAAAUGUUAGUAACAACUAAAUACAAUAUUUAGAUCUUGUGAGGAUUUGAUUUGAAUAAAUAAGAUUUUUUUAAAAGACAUUUUUGAGACAAAAUGUAGACUAUCUGAUAUUAAGAAAUUAAUCACUUUUUCAGAUAUGAUAAUGGCAUUGCAGUUUUUUUUAAGUUCUUAUCUAUUACAGAUACAUAAUGAGGCAUUUUGAGUGAAAAUAUAUCUAGGAUUUGCUUUCCAAUACUCCAUCCCCUCCCCAUCAAAACACUAAAUAAAUGAAACAAGAUUAGUGAAAUACGGAAAAUUGUUGAAGUUAUUCAUUAUUCCAUUUCCCAUAUGGAACUUUCCAUACUAGUUUCCCUACUGCUGUUGAAUAUUUGACAUGUUUCAAAUACAUUUGAAAUAAAUUUAUUGUCUGAGAUGAUCAGGUUGAAAAAUAAUAAAAUGAAAUAAAUUUAAAAGUAAAAUAAACAUAACCCUUUUAAGCAUUAAAAUUAAAAAUUAUGAGGCUUGUUGAAUUAUUACUGUUAUAAAUAAUUACAUACAUGUAUUUUUGAAACAGUCUUGCUCUUUCACCCAGGCUGCAGUGCAGUGGCAUAAUCACAGUUCACUGCGGCCUCAACCUCCCAGGCUCAGGUGAUCCUUGCACGUCUGCCUCCCAAGUAGCUGGGACUGCAGGUGUGCACCACCAUGCCUGGCUAAAUUUUUCUCUUUUGUAGAGACGGGUUUUGCGAUUUUGCCCACACUGGUCUUAAAGUCCUGGG